rnacentral:lncRNA from 1 species
CUCACGCACAAGACUUUCUCACACCCCAAAAUUUUUCUCCAAGAAAAGACUUCUUCUUAUUGCACGCCCCACUCUUCUCUUCCUUUUAUAAUCACUUCAAAAAUCUUAUCCAAAUGAAAAGAUAAAGAUGAGUAAUUGCUCAUUUGAAUUCAAAAUUAAAUUUUAAAUUCAAAUGGACACUAACUCAUCCCUUAUCCACAAAAGGUGUGAGAAGAGGAGGCAUGGCUGAAAUUGUGCAUGGAGUGAUUUCAUGAGAAACAUUUUCUCAUGUA